CUUUGGUAACUCAGCUAGAAAUAAUUAGCCCCAUCCCUGUCAUGGGACCAAUCAAGUCCUGGGGCAGGGGAGAUAUAGGGACUAGGGAUAACUCAGAAGCUUUGCUAUUGUUAGUCUUUUUUUUUAACUUGGAACCUAGGGGCUAGUAACUAGAUGAGUACUUUAUAUCCUAGUUCCACUGCGUUCUUUCUGUGACUCCUUACCUAGUUCCUUGAGGACGAGAUCCAGCCCUGUUCUCCCUGUCCAAAGGGAUAGGAGUCUUCCCCCAGCCCAUUCCACCUCACCAGCGAUUCCAUGAAGAAAUCACCCCUCCUGGAUGCCACGGGGGUUUUGGUUCUGAAGACAUUGGAAAUCAGUAGGAGCCAGGACAAUCAGUGCUUCAUCUUCGGGGUCGUUCAAGCAAUACCGGGGGCUCCCAAGGCAUUUCGGUGCCUUCGCCCGGGUCUUCUGGGAGGAGGUAGAUCUUGGUGCAAGAAUCUCGUGCGUGUCUGAGUGGAGCAGUCCGGGAGCCCAGGGAUCAGAUCUCACCGUUUCGUGCCCCUAAGUGGCGCCAGAUCUGAACCGCGGCGAAGGUAAGAGGAGUGAGAUGAAUGUGUUGGAAUGACAAGAAAACUUUUCGCUGAUCAGAGCGUGGCUCUUCGUUGUGAGCUCUGCAGAGCGAAGCCAGGACUGGUACUCUCGGGACACGCUGCUUGCCACAGGUCCGAAUGGCCCCAGGCGAAACAGAGAAAGGGCCCCUGAGCUAGCGACCAGCGAUGUCAGGCAGGCCGGGGGAGCGGCCGCCACGUCUCUUCCCUCCCACUAACUUAGGUUACAGUAAGGCUUUCUUUCUGAUCAUCACCAUCUUAGUCUCCAUCCCAGGCGGGUUGUUCUGUUUGAAUGAAUGACCCAAGUGGCCGGACCCAAUCAGUGCCUCCGCCUUAUUAAUAUGCAUAAGGGUUGCGGCCAAUGGCCAGGCGAGGAGGCUGUUUUAAACGGCGGAGCCCGCUAGCCAAUCAGGCG
rnacentral:lncRNA from 1 species